rnacentral:misc_RNA from 1 species
AUGACGCCCGAGGAGAACGCGGGUACCAAACUCUUGCUGCAGAGUUUCGAGAGCCGCUUCCUAGUGGCGCGCACACUGCGUUCCUUCCCCUGGCAGAGCUUAGAAGCAAAGUUAAGAGACUCAUCAGAUUCUGAGCUGCUGAGGGAUAUUUUGCAGAAGACUGUGAGGCAUCCUGUGUGUGUGAAGCCCCCGCCGUCAGUCAAGUAUGCCCGGUGCUUUCUCUCAGAACUCAUCAAAAAGCAUGAGGCUGUCCACACGGAGCCUUUGGAUGAGCUGUACGAGGCGCUGGCAGAGACUCUGAUGGCCAAGGAGUCCACCCAGGGCCACCAGAGCUAUUUGCUGCCCUGGGGAGGCUCGGUCACACUCUGAGAGCACAGCCAUCAUCUCCCACGGUACCACAGGCCGGGUCACAUGGGACACCGCCCUCUACCUUGUAGAAUGGGCCAUCGAGAACCCGGCAGCCUUCAUUAACAGGACUGUCCUAGAGCUUGGCAGUGGUGCCGGCCUCACAGGCCUUGCCAUCUGCAAGAUGUGCCGCCCCCGGGCAUACAUCUUCAGCGACCCUCACAGCCGGGUCCUCGAGCAGCUCCAAGGGAAUGUCCUUCUCAAUGGCCUCUCAUUAGAGGCAGACAUCACUGGCAACUUAGCCCCAGGGUGACAGUGGCCCAGCUGGACUGGGACGUAGCUACGGUCCAUCAGCUCUCUGCCUUCCACCCAGAUGUUGUCAUUGCAGCAGACUUGCUGUAUUGCCCAGAAGCCAUCGUGUCGCUGGUCGGGGUCCUGCAGAGGCUGGCUGCCUGCCGGGAGCACAAGCGGGCUCCUGAGGUCUACGUGGCCUUUACCGUCCGCAACCCAGAGACGUGCCAGCUGUUCACCACCGAGCUAGGCCAGGCCGGGAUCAGAUGGGAAGCGGAAGCUCAUCAUGACCAGAAACUGUUUCCCUACGGAGAGCACUUGGAGAUGGCAAUGCUGAACCUCACACUG